rnacentral:lncRNA from 1 species
UGUUUAGUUCUGGCUGUUGUACCUUGCCAUGCAACUCGACCUUGGCAGAUGGAGCAACUGCGGUAGCGUCGGUAGCCUCUUUGAGCUUGCUCGCGUGCUAUGCCGCUUUGUUCCUCAAUGGAACCAUUAUACGACAACUCCAGAUCCCGGUCCUAUUCUUAGGCUCCACCUUCAGGGCCGCCUGCCUGGCCGAAAGCUCGUCCUCAUGAUCGUCGGGCUAGAUCUUGCACGCGACCUGCUCCGCCUUGGUCUUGGCAAGGCGGUCCUCGCCCUCCCUUAGGAUCUUCUCCGCCUCAGCCUUCCAAUAUAUGAUCCCGACCCUGGCCUUGGCAAGGUCCUCCCGGUAUUUGGUGAGAUCCUUAUGCUUAUCGACAAACCAGACAUGUGAAUCGGCGAGGCGCUCAUGGAAAUCGUUC